rnacentral:rRNA from 1 species
CCUACGGGAGGCAGCAGUGGGGAAUAUUGGACAAUGGGCGCAAGCCUGACCCAGCAACGCCGCGUGAAGGAAGAAGGCUUUCGGGUUGUAAACUUCUUUUAAGAGGGAAGAACAUAAGCCGGUACCUCUUGAAUAAGCCACGUCUAACUACGUGCCAGCCGCCGCGGUAAUACGUAGGUGGCACGCGGUGUCCGGCUUUACUGGGUGUAAAGGGCGUUCAGCCGGGAAGACAAGUCAGAUGUGAAAUCCCGCGGCGUAACGGCGGAACUGCAUUUGAAACUGGUUUUCUUGAGUACAGGAGAGGUAAGCGGAAUUCCUUGUGUAGCGGUGAAAUGCGUAGAUAUAAGGAAGAACACCAGUGGCGAAGGCGGAUGACUGGACGGCAACUGACGGUGAGGCGCGAAAGCGUGGGGAGCAAACAGGAUUAGAUACCCGGGUAGUC